rnacentral:rRNA from 1 species
UACAGAGGUCCCGAGCGUUGUUCGGAUUCAUUGGGCGUAAAGGGUGCGUAGGCGGCGGGGCAAGUCUGAUGUGGAAUCCUGGGGCUCAACCCUGGAACUGCAUUGGAUACUGCCUUGCUAGAGAACUGGAGAGGAGACUGGAAUUUACGGUGUAGCAGUGAAAUGCGUAGAGAUCGUAAGGAAGACCAGUGGCGAAGGCGAGUCUCUGGACAGUUACUGACGCUGAGGCACGAAGGCCAGGGGAGCAAACGGG